AUUGAACGCUGGCGGCAGGCCUAACACAUGCAAGUCGAACGGUAACAGGAAACAGCUUGCUGUUUCGCUGACGAGUGGCGGACGGGUGAGUAAUGUCUGGGAAACUGCCUGAUGGAGGGGGAUAACUACUGGAAACGGUAGCUAAUACCGCAUAACGUCGCAAGGCCAAAGAGGGGGACCUUCGGGCCUCUUGCCAUCGGAUGUGCCCAGCUGGGAUUAGCUAGUAGGUGGGGUAACGGCUCACCUAGGCGACGACCCCUAGCUGGUCUGAGAGAAGGACCGGCCACACUGGAGCUGAGACACGGUCCAGACUCCUACGGGAGGCAGCAGUGGGGAAUAUUGCACAAUGGGCGCAAGCCUGAUGCAGCCAUGCCGCGUGUAUGAAGAAGGCCUUCGGGUUGUAAAGUACUUUCAGCGGGGAGGAAGGGAGUAAAGUUAAUACCUUGACUCAUUGACGUUACCCGCAGAAGAAGCACCGGCUAACUCCGUG
rnacentral:rRNA from 1 species